rnacentral:piRNA from 1 species
UUCUCUCCAACUGCCAGCUGAUUGGGUCC